rnacentral:rRNA from 1 species
UUUGAUCCUGGCUCAGAUUGAACGCUGGCGGCAGGCCUAACACAUGCAAGUCGAGCGGUAACAUUUCUAGCUUGCUAGAAGAUGACGAGCGGCGGACGGGUGAGUAAUGCUUGGGAACAUGCCUUGAGGUGGGGGACAACAGUUGGAAGCGACUGCUAAUACCGCAUAAUGUCUACGGACCAAAGGGGGCUUCGGCUCUCGCCUUUAGAUUGGCCCAAGUGGGAUUAGCUAGUUGGUGAGGUAAUGGCUCACCAAGGCGACGAUCCCUAGCUGGUUUGAGAGGAUGAUCAGCCACACUGGGACUGAGACACGGCCCAGACUCCUACGGGAGGCAGCAGUGGGGAAUAUUGCACAAUGGGCGAAAGCCUGAUGCAGCCAUGCCGCGUGUGUGAAGAAGGCCUUCGGGUUGUAAAGCACUUUCAGUCAGGAGGAAAGGUUAGUAGUUAAUACC